rnacentral:miRNA from 1 species
GGAGAAUUGCUUGAACCUGGGAGAUGGAGGUUGCAGUGAGCUGAGAUCGUGCCACUGCACCCCAGCCUGGGCGACAGAGCAAGACUCUUGUCUC